AAGCGCCCAAGGAAUGAUGGUGAUGCUGGUCCUCAGACCUUGGUGUAGCACUGGGCCAAACUACCCACGUCACUGUAAUAAAUCUCUGGUUCCAAGAAGGGAGCUCAAUUAUUCACUGUUACAAAAAUGGCCAUUGAUGAUCUUGAAAACCCAGUGGCUGGACCCAAACAUGUAACAAAAACAACAAUACUGCUGGACAGUCCUGCCCUCAGAGGUUCAGAAAGUCCCCCCACCACCUUUGGAGAAACUUUAGCCAAAGACCUAAAAGAUCUCCAUCUGGAAGAGGGAACCCUCCUCCACUGUGCAGACAACAUCCUGAUCAUCAGCCUGCCUAAGGAGGCUUCUGAACCACCUGGCCUCCUUAAAGGAUAUAUGGUGUCCAAGAAAAAGGCUCAAAUGGCACAAACUAGGGUGACCCACCCAGGAUUCAUUCUCAUAGGUCAGAGAAGCCCACCCAGGAAAAGAGAGAAGACAUUUGCAGCCUCACCCUCUCCUAAAACUAGAAGACAGCUUAAGGGUUCCCCCUCCCCAUGGCCAGGUUUUGCCAUUCUGGAUCCCUGACUACGGUCUAUUAGUUAUGCCUCCAUAUGCAAAGUUCAAAAGAAAGGAUGAUGGUCGUUUUGAAUGGAAUUCACAAUGCAAUGGGGCCUUUCAAGAAUUGAAAAACUAAUUGCUUCAGGCCCCUGCCCUGGCCCUCCCAGAUUUAGCUACACUCUUUGACCUUUACUUUUAGGAGAGAAAAACAAUCAUCCUUGGGGUAUUAGUUCAAACACUGGGGCACUUUACUCCGGUGGUUGUUUAUUUCUCUAAACAAUUAGAUCCAGCCACCAAGGGACGGCCUCCUUGGCUUCAGGAAGUAGCUGCUAUUACAACCUGCUCAAGGAGGCGGAAAAGUUAACAUCUGGUCAGCCAAUCACUAUAUGAACUCCAUUAUGAUUCAGGUUUUAAACAAAGCCCUACUGUAUAGCACAGGGAAUUUUGUUCAAUGUUAUGUAACAGCUCGGUUGGGAGAGGAGUUUGCAGGAGAACGGAUACAUGUAUAUGUAUGGCUGAGUUCCUCUGCUGUCCACCUGAAACUAUCACAACAUUGUUAACUGGCUAUACUUGAAUGAAAUAGUUUAUUUCCGGAGUGGUACAAUCCACCGCCAGGCAGGUGAUACAUGUUCAAUCCCUAGUCUAGGAAGAUUCCACACACCAGGGGUAACCACAGGUGGUGCACCACAACUACUGAGCUGCAACUUCAGAAGCCCGAGCUCCCUAGACCCCACAC
ensembl:lncRNA